rnacentral:rRNA from 1 species
AGAGUUUGAUCCUGGCUCAGGAUGAACGCUAGCUACAGGCUUAACACAUGCAAGUCGAGGGGAAACGACAUCGAAAGCUUGCUUUUUGAUGGGCGUCGACCGGCGUACGGGUGAGUAACGUGUAUCCAACCUGCCCACCACUUGGGGAUAACCUUGCGAAAGUAAGACUAAUACCCAAUGAUAUCUCUAGAAGACAUCUGAAAGAGAUUAAAGAUUUAUCGGUGAUGGAUGGGGAUGCGUCUGAUUAGCUUGUUGGCGGGGGUAACGGCCCCACCAAGGCAACGAUCAGUAGGGGUUCUGAGAGGAAGGUCCCCCACAUUGGAACUGAGACACGGUCCAAACUCCUACGGGAGGCAGCA